CAAAAAGUACUAUACAAUUAAAUAAAAUGGUAGAAACAAAAGAAUAGCGAAGAAGAAGCAAAUGCGCUUCACGCUAAUUCCAAGUACCAACACAAAACAAAUUCAAUGUUUGGUGAAGCAACUUGCUUAGUGGCGGACGGGUGAGUAACGCGUGAACAAUCUGCCCCGUACAAAGGGAUAGCCUCGGGAAACCGGGAUUAAAACCAUAUAACACUUAACUGCCGCAUGGUAGUGAAGUCAAAUCGAUUAAGAGGUAUGGGAUGAGUUCGCGUCUGAUUAGCUAGUUGGUGAGGUAAGGGCUCACCAAGGCGACGAUCAGUAGCCGGCCUGAGAGGGUGAACGGCCACACUGGAACUGAGACACGGUCCAGACUCCUACGGGAGGCAGCAGUGGGGAAUAUUGCACAAUGGAGGGAACUCUGAUGCAGCGACGCCGCGUGAGUGAAGAAGGUCUUCGGAUCGUAAAACUCUGUCCUUGGUGAAGAAAAGGACGGUAGCCAAGGAGGAAGCCCCGGCUAACUACGUG
rnacentral:rRNA from 1 species